CUUUCCCCAGCUUAGUGUCCUUGCACAUAUCUGGCCUGGAUAAUAUAAAUGAGAUAUGGAACGACAAGCCUACUGCAAAUUCCUUCAGCAGACUAGUAGAAGUGAAGGUAGAAGAUUGUAAUAAACUGCAGAAGGGUUUGCCAUUAAUUGUGCUGAAGUGGUUAUCGAGCCUACAGUUUCUUAGAAUAGUCAAUUGUGGCAAAUUAAAAGAGGUGUUUAAUCUGGAUGGGGCAAAUAUUGAGGACGAUGCAACAGAAACUCAGUUGAAUAAAUUGGUACUUCAUGGUCUCCCACAACUGCAGUAUAUAUGGAGUAGGGAUCCCUAUGGAAUUCUCACCUAUGAAAACUUAGAUUUGGUGGAAGUUCUCCAUUGUCUGGUUCUGGAAGGUCAAUUUCCAAGUUGCUUAACCCGAGACCUUUCACAGCUUGAGAAGCAAUUGAUUAGAUCACGAUGGAAAAAAGACUUGGAAGGAAAAGAUGAAGGAGAAGAUUUUGUAUUCCCUGAAGUAACCUACCACAAACUUCUCAAUCUGCGAAAAAUCAAGGGUAAAGAGGUGGUAGUGGUUAGUGAAAGUGAUUAUGUGGGCGAGAUUUCUGAAGACAUGCCUGGAAGUUCAGGAUAGUAUCCCAGUUCAAGAUUGGUUGCUUUCCCUGACUUGGAGGAACUUACAGUGGUUUGCAACAACAUCAUGGAGACAUGACAGCUAAUUCCCUGCAAAAUCCUUCAAACUACAAGUUCUGGAGGUACGCUGGAUUUGCUUCAUGUUUUCCUUCAUUUCAGGAGAAAGACAUGCUGCUAUGAGAGGCUCUGCAAUGAUUUUUUCCUCUGUUUCAAUUGAAUUCGACUGGGUUUUUCUUUCAGUAAAAUUUCAUAUAAUUGCCUCGACUUGAGCAAUAUACUCUUAAGCUGCUAUGCUACUUUGUCCCAAAAUAGUUCAACUACUU